CGGACGGGUGAGUAACGCGUGAGAACCUACCUUCAGAAUGGGGAUAACAGUUGGAAACGACUGCUAAUACCCGAUGUGCCGAGAGGUGAAAGAUUUAUCGUCUGAAGAAGGGCUCGCGGCUGAUUAGCUAGUUGGUAGGGUAAAGGCUUACCAAGGCAACGAUCAGUAACUGGUCUGAGAGGAUGAGCAGUCACACUGGAACUGAGAAACGGUCCAGACUCCUACGGGAGGCAGCAGUGGGGAAUUUUCCGCAAUGGGCGAAAGCCUGACGGAGCAAUACCGCGUGAGGGAGGAAGGUUCUUGGAUUGUAAACCUCUUUUAUCAGGGAAUAAAAAAAUGAAGGUACCUGAUGAAUAAGCAUCGGCUAACUCCGUGCCAGCAGCCGCGGUAAUACGGAGGAUGCAAGCGUUAUCCGGAAUUAUUGGGCGUAAAGAGUCCGUAGGUGGAAGUUCAAGUCUGUCGUUAAAGAAUGGAGCUUAACUCCAUAGAGGCGGUGGAAACUGAACAACUAGAGUGCGGUAGGGGUAACGGGAAUUCCCAGUGUAGCGGUGAAAUGCGUAGAUAUUGGGAAGAACAUCGGUGGCGAAAGCGCGUUACUGGGCCGAAACUGACACUGAGGGACGAAAGCUAGGGUAGCGAAAGGGAUUAGAUACCCCUGUAGUC
rnacentral:rRNA from 1 species